rnacentral:rRNA from 1 species
UUGCGACCCCAGGUCAGGCGGGAUCACCCCGCUGAGUUUAAGCAUAUCAAUAAGCGGAGGAAAAGAAA